rnacentral:rRNA from 1 species
UCGACGGAACUGUUUUGAAAGAUUUCUUCGGAAUGAAUUUGAUUUAGUUUAGUGGCGGACGGGUGAGUAACGCGUGAGUAACCUGCCUUCAAGAGGGGGAUAACAUUCUGAAAAGAAUGCUAAUACCGCAUGACAUAUCGGAACCACAUGGUUUUGAUAUCAAAGAUUUUAUCGCUUGAAGAUGGACUCGCGUCCGAUUAGUUAGUUGGUGAGGUAACGGCUCACCAAGACUGCGAUCGGUGGCCGGACUGAGAGGUUGAACGGCCACAUUGGGACUGAGACACGGCCCAGACUCCUACGGGAGGCAGCAGUGGGGGAUAUUGCGCAAUGGGGGCAACCCUGACCCAGCAACGCCGCGUGAAGGAUGAAGGUUUUCGGAUUGUAAACUUCUUUUAUUAAGGACGAAAAAUGACGGUACUUAAUGAAUAAGCUCCGGCUAACUACGUGCCAGCAGCCGCGGUAAUACGUAGGGAGCAAGCGUUGUCCGGAUUUACUGGGUGUAAAGGGUGCGUAGGCGGCUUUGCAAGUCAGAUGUGAAAUCUAUGGGCUCAACCCAUAAACUGCAUUUGAAACUGUAGAGCUUGAGUGAAGUAGAGGCAGGCGGAAUUCCCCGUGUAGCGGUGAAAUGCGUAGAGAUGGGGAGGAACACCAGUGGCGAAGGCGGCCUGCUGGGCUUUAACUGACGCUGAGGCACGAAAGCGUGGGUAGCAAACAGGAUUAGAUACCCUGGUAGUCCACGCUGUAAACGAUGAUUACUAGGUGUGGGGGGUCUGACCCCUUC